rnacentral:rRNA from 1 species
AACGUAGGUGGCGAGCGUUAUCCGGCUUUACUGGGCGUCAAGGGUGUGCAGGCGGGCUGUUAAGUGGUGUAUGAAAUAUCCCGGCUCAACCGGGAGAGGUUAUGCCAGACUGGCAGGCUAGAGAGCGAGAGAGGGACGUGGAAUUCCGGGUGUAGUGGUGAAAUGCGUAGAGAUCCGGAGGAACCCCAGAGGCGAAGGCGGCGUCCUGGCUCGCAUCUGACGCUCAGACACGACAGCAUGGGGAGCGAACGGG